GGGGGUGUUCCGGUUUCGACGGGGUGUAGGACGUCGCACGGUGCAUGCCGAGGUCUAGUCACCUCGUAAAACCGCUAGAAACAAAUAAACGCCAACAACGAGCGUUUCGCUCUCGCCGCUUAAGCCGCGAGCGAUGCACUGAGUGGUCUCUGGCUCAGGUCGGGUAAAACCGGCAGCAUCGUCAUUCACAGAGUCUAGGAGCAGACGGAGUCGUGACGGCUUCUCCGAAAUUCAAGCGACUGGUCGUUUGCCGGCCCGUUCAAUGGCAGGGCAAAUGAUGAGAACUUAAAUGAUUGAACUAAGCUUGUAGAUCCGGCGGAAAAAUCGCUUCGGACGCGGGUUCAAUUCCCGCCACCUCCACCA
rnacentral:tmRNA from 1 species